UGCGCAACAGAAAUUCACGAACCGUGUCAGGGCAGGAAUGCAGCAGCACUAAGUGAAACCUUCUGUGUGACGCGAGGGUGCCUG
rnacentral:SRP_RNA from 1 species